CAACAAAGGACAUAUAACAAUGCUUUCUAUUAUCAAUGAUGUUUCGUGACCCAAAUGGCAUUUAGUUUUUUAAAAAGGAGGGAAGAAGUGAUGGAAUGUAGUGUCUCUAGCCUUCUGAGAACUUCACAAUGCAGGUGAUUUAUUAUUACUUGGCAAGGGGUGGGAGAAGACGAAGGAUGGAGGGGCAGCUGAUUGCAGACAGGCACAAGGCGGCCAGCACCUCGGCCCAGUGAGUUUGGGGACAGAGUCUGCAGACUGCUGAGCUGCUAGGUUGACUACUGAGAUGGGUAAAACCCCUGACCACACAGUAUCAGGCAUGUGUUAGGUUCUUACAUCAGAAAGAAAAAGGACUAAGAAGACACACAACAACCCCCAGGGCAGGGAUUAGAAAACUCUCUAUAAUCAAGGAUUCUAAAGUUCCAUCAAGUGCAGAAAACCAGUUCCUUCCACAACCACAGAAGCUCAGCACUGCAAUUUCUCCUCCCCUUCCUCUACACCCAAGGUAUUUUUCCUAGUGGCAUUUGAAUAAUAUCCUUCC
rnacentral:lncRNA from 1 species